UCGUCAGUUGCUGCUUCGUUUCCAACAAGGCCUUUUAUGAGUGUUCGUGGUUUCUAUUUCAUAUCGGGACUAAUGAUUCGAUCGGCUGUAUCCAGUAGAUGGCGGAGAAUAAGCUGAUGUUUGCUGAAUUUUUUCUUUUGACGUACGAGAGCGCUUCCUGAAAUGGUAACGCGAUGCGGUGGUUGACUCGUUAACGCUACCGGUUGGUGAUUUGCGUUCUACUUACUUUUAAGAAACCAGCGAUUUCAAUCCUCCUACUCUGGACGAUCGGAAUGCUAACCCCUCCAGGUUUGAGUUCGGAGACUUGUAUUGACUUGAGGUAAGGCUUCUCCCCCUUUGGACGAUCGGAAUGCUAACCCCUCCAGGUUUGAGUUCGGAGACUUUUAUUGACUUGAGGUAAGGCUUCUCCCCCUUUGGACGAUCGGAAUGCUAAACUCCUCCAGGUUUGAAUUCGGAAACUGUUGUAAUGACUUAAGGUGAGCUUUCUAAGCUUUGCAUUGACCAAAAUAGGCUUUUUAAGCAGAGGUAAAGUUUUCGUAUUGACUAACCACUCGACCAUUUUUUCCCUCCACCCCUGUAGGGGCGGGUGCCCCUGUAGGGGUGGAGGGCCCUCUCUUGCCUGUCCCGUAGGUCUUCGGACCUACGGGGAGGUUCAUGGGAGGGUUUUUUUUCAGGUUGUAAGAGUCUAGAUUAAAAAAAAAUAUAUAUAUAAAAAAUGGGUCUAAAAUAUUUAAAUACAAGGUAGCUUUUAAGAAAUUUAACUUAUUUAGUAUUAUCUAUUUUGCUUGCCUAAGACAUAAAUGUUGAGUUUCACAGGUAAUUUUGUCUAGCUUUAUUACAUCUAAAUUCAAAACUAGUUUUUAGGUUUGGGUACUAGUAUAUUCAAAAGUAAAUUGUUUGGUUAAUUGUAAGAAAUUAUAAUUUAUAAACAAUUUUAAUUUAGAAUUAACCUCCUGUAUAUAAUUUAAUAUAUCCAAAGCUUCUUACUUGGACUGUCUUUACUUUGAAUUUUCAUUAUAACGUGAAAUAAUUCUUUGCAGACAUACCUUUGUUUAAUACGCACCACGAAUAUAAAGGGUAAUCUUAAGAUGGUUUUUUUAGAUGGUAUGCACACAUACUUAGUUUGCUGUUUUUUGCCAACUAAGUCAAAUCCAGUGAUGUCUUGGCCUUGGCUUAGUAUACCUUGUCAACAUACUCUGGCUCUUGGCGACUUUACGUACUUGGUUGCUUUUGUUAGAUGAGAGGUAUUCAAGAAUAUGCUAAUGGAAUGAAACUUCUGUUCAAGAACUGUGUGAAAGAACUGUAAAUUUCUCUCGUUGUUCAAUAGAUUUUGAACGAGGUAAUUAAACCUGGAGUUAUUGACCUUCAUCUUGUACAUAAUUUCUGUUGUAUCUAAACUGGAUUGUCAUCACCUCUGCUUUCAAGCUGACAUUGUUUUUGGUUUUAAGGUAUUACUUUUGUAGCCAAUAAGGAUAUAACAUCCAAUAAAAUGCUAAAUUUGUUUGAAUUUAGUCGCUUUAUAUAAAUUCUAAAAAAAUAUUAUAGUCUACUGGUGAUUUGCCUGGAUCAAGGUUUUAGUCCUAUAAUAUUUGUGAUUUCGGGGGACAGUUUUCAAAAUGAGCUCUAAAAGCCACUGAAUAUGCAUAAUUAGUUGGUAAUGAUGAAUUUAUAUUAUAUUAUGAUCGAUUUUUAUUUCUAAAUGUUUUCUGAAACUGCAAUGAUAUUUUAAAAUUAUGAAGAAUUUCAUAAUUUAGUUUUCCUGAAUAAAAGUAA